ACCCGCACAAGCGGUGGAGCAUGUGGUUUAAUUCGACGCAACGCGAAGAACCUUACCAGGGCUUGACAUCCCCUGACCGCGUAUGAAAGUACGUUUUCACCCUCGGGUGACAGGGAGACAGGUGGUGCAUGGUUGUCGUCAGCUCGUGUCGUGAGAUGUUGGGUUAAGUCCCGCAACGAGCGCAACCCCUACGUUUAGUUGCUAACGCGUGAAGGCGAGCACUCUAGACGAACUGCCGUUGACAAACGGAGGAAGGUGGGGAUGACGUCAAAUCAUCAUGCCCCUUAUGUUCUGGGCUACACACGUGCUACAAUGGCCGGUACAGACGGACGCAAAGCCGCGAGGUGGAGCAAAUCCUAAAAAGCCGGUCUCAGUUCGGAUUGCAGGCUGCAAUUCGCCUGCAUGAAGUCGGAAUCGCUAGUAAUCGCAGGUCAGCAUACUGCGGUGAAUACGUUCCCGGGCCUU
rnacentral:rRNA from 1 species